rnacentral:rRNA from 1 species
UACAUAGGUGGCAAGCGUUACUCGGAAUUACUGGGCGUAAAGCGUGCGUAGGUGGUUGUUUAAGUCUGUUGUGAAAGCCCUGGGCUCAACCUGGGAACUGCAGUGGAAACUGGACAACUAGAGUGUGGUAGAGGGUAGCGGAAUUCCCGGUGUAGCAGUGAAAUGCGUAGAGAUCGGGAGGAACAUCCAUGGCGAAGGCAGCUACCUGGACCAACACUGACACUGAGGCACGAAAGCGUGGGGAGCAAACAGG